rfam:Aedes aegypti strain Liverpool supercont1.166 genomic scaffold, whole genome shotgun sequence.
CCUCUCAUGGCGUAGGGGUAACGCGCCAUAGCUAGAGAUCUUGGAGUCGUGAGUUCGAUUCUCACUGAGAAGA